UUCCGAUUCUCGUUCGAUAUGAUUUUUCCACUGUUGUGACCACCAUUUUCUUGAUUUUUCCACUGUUGUGACCACCAUUUUCUUCUCUACAGGUUGACCGAAGCAAAACACCCAACUGCAACGUGAGCCGGAGGAGCCACCGUACCGGAGAGCCACCAGCUGGUGAGUUUUGGCUUUCUGCAUUUUUUUGGCCCACCGAGAGCCCUAAAUGUGUUUUCUCGUAGGAACCAGUGCAAGUUCGGCUAAAUUUGGCCGAAAACAGUCAAAAACAACCAACUCGAGGCAGAUCGCCGCCGUGGGCGGCGGCAGCGGUGCCGCCAGAGCACGGCGGAGUCGCCGUGCUGGAAUUUUAAAAUUGGUCAAGUAGGCCCUGG
rnacentral:lncRNA from 1 species